GACAGAGGGUGCAAACGUUGUUCGGAAUUACUGGGCGUAAAGCGUGUGUAGGCGGUGUGGUAAGUCGGAUGUGAAAGCCCCGGGCUCAACCCGGGAAGUGCACUCGAUACUGCCACGCUAGAGUAUCGGAGAGGUUGGUGGAAUUCUCGGUGUAGAGGUGAAAUUCGUAGAUAUUCGCAAGAACACCAGUGGCGAAGGCGGCUCACUGGCCCGGUACUGACGCUGAGGUGCGAAAGCGUGGGGAGCAAACAGG
rnacentral:rRNA from 1 species